rnacentral:lncRNA from 1 species
UCUCCCUAUAAGUUUUUAAUAUUGUCACGACCCAAAGUACAUCCUAGUCGUAACAUGGCGUAUAGGACCUCGAGAGACCCAAUACAAGUCACUUAGCAUACAUAUACAAGAUAAUAGAAUCUUAAAGAGUUCAAAAGACAUUUGAAUCAUAAAGAGUUCCAUCAAAAACAGAAGUCUAACAUAAGUCUCAAAGCCACUAUUGGAAAGUGAUUGAAACGUAACCCAUACAUCACAAUAUGAAAUGAAAAGAUUUGAAAGCAAUAAAGAAUCUUGGUCCUCGGAACAUGAGGACUCACCAAUCUUCAAUGUCUAUAUGGGAUCACUGGCCACGAGUGUGCGGAAUGGAAGCGUCGGACCCUACAUUAGUGAAACAAUGUAGGCACAAGUAUGCAUUAGUACAUGGAAUGUACUAAGUAUGAUAACAAUGCAUAAAGAGUAAUGAAAUCUUGCUAAAAGGGACUUUAUAUGACAUGCAAUGAUCAAGCUAAAUCAUAAAAUAACAUGUUAGAAGACAUAAGUCGAAAUCAUGGUCAAUGCAAGCUAAACAUCUUUAAAACACAUUUGAGAUACUUCUAGAAGUAACCUUAGUUCAUUCUUGUGGGAAGUUUGCCAUUAACUGACAUAGACCAUGUGAGCUAUAACAUGGAAUCUAGUGUCUAUUCCACAUCGAAAAGAGAUGUCCUUACUUGCCAAGGUAAGAACCAUAAACUUCUAGCUUAGGUGGAUCCACUAGCUAAUCUCUAUCUAAGACAACCUAUGGUGACACAUAGUUAUGUGAUAGGGAGAUUGCUACUAGAAACCCAGCCUCAACUAUGGGAGAGCUUCCAUCUUGAUAUCCUCUCGGUGCUAAUUAAGCAUAAAUCCCACGGAAUAGUCAUUAAUCUUAACUUAUCUUAUUAUCCAUGGAAGGGCACAUGAAGUAGCCAAUCAAAGCUAGAAUUCAUUAUAGCCAAUCCUAGGUGAGAAAACCUUUCAACCUUGUGAAUCAUUUAUGUGAGCAAAUCCUUUCACAAUAACUUCAUAUGUGAGAAAUCCUUUCACAACAACAAUUCAUAAAGAAACAUGCAUAUCUUCAUAAAUUCAUCUUUCAUAUUUCAAAAGCUUCAUCAUAUAAUCAAAAUCCAGAAAAUUAUGGAUCAUGCAUGGGUUCAAUUGCAUUGAACUUAAAAACAUGUAGUUAUCUCAAUUCAUGCAUAAAAAUACAUAAAACAAUCAAUUGGAUCAUAAUUGAGAGCAACCCAUGAAAUUGAAUAAAACCCUAAUUUCAAUUGGAGAACUCUAACUUGUAAUAUUGGAGAAUUUAGGAACCUUAUGGAGGAAAGAACUCCACAGGUGAAUACUAUCAUACCUUGAUGUCAAAAACCCCCAAUCAAUGGUGAAUUUGGAGACUGGAUCCUGAAACCCUAGACUAGUUUAUCAAACAUAUCAAGCCUAUUUAAGAAUGACAAGAAGGUACAUCUAUUAAUUGCCUGUGUAGACUUUGGCCUAUUCAAGAAUGACAAGAAACAACAUGCAUUAAUUAGUUUUUGUACAUUUCGGGUUACCUAAAAUGUUAACAAUAACAUACUUUUUGCAGUCUUCCAACUGGGAUCUUUGAAGGGUAGGAUGUAAGCAGAUCUUACCUCUACCUUCGUAAGUCAGAGACUAAAAAACUCUCGAUUCAAAAGGAAAGUACCUAGGAUACAAAAGAAAUGUAACAAUAAGAGGUUACCUAAAUGUUACUGAUGGUAAUCGUCCAUAAAAUACAAUAAGUUAAAUGCAAUCAUGUAUAGUUGGCUCAUCACUUCGUUUGAGUUGGAUGUUGGUUUGCAACCAUUGCAGGAAGAAUCAGUACUAAGUAAUUAGGAAAAGGAAAUUGAACAGAUAGAGCAACAACAAAAUACAUGUUUUAUCGCAAAUACUUCUUAACUAAAUCAAUCAACAAAGAAAAUAAAAACAACAUUCAGCUGCAAAAUUCUCUUUUGUAUUCAGAUUGCAUAACGACAAUCACAAGAAGCUCAGCUCAAAAACAUAAAAAACUGAAUUGUAUCGCAACUUCAAGCAACAUGAGAAAUUGUAGCUAUAACUUAUAGAACAACCUUGAAUUCCUUAAAAUACCUAUAGAAAUAACCUAUUAUAAUCAAGAAACUCGCCUUGAAACUAUAUACUCAAGUGAAAUCCUCACUAACCACAUAACUGAAAAGUAGCAAUAAGAUGAUUUUCAGUUCACUCGAGUAGCCAACAUGUCUAUAGAUAUGAUUGCACAAGUGUAUAAACAAAUUCGUAACAAUGACCACGAUUUAAUUUUCUGACUGUUCUUCCCUCAUUUCAAACAAAUCAUACUAAUUACUCCCAAACUCCAAAAAAAAGAAAACAAUCAAACCAUGUAAAGACAAAAGCAUAAAGUACCUGUAACAAUUAGCAAAGUUCAAAAAAAAAAAUUCAAUUACAAUACUUAGAAACCAGUAGAACACGAAUUGAAAAUAUUGAUUCUUAAUUUCAGCUUCAAUUCUACAAAAAUUGAAACAAGUAGAAAUAGGAAUUACUUAACAAAUCAUAUAUAUAAAUAUAUCAAAAUAUAUUAAAAACUCGAAGAGAUUUAACUCGAAGCUCCAAUUCUCCUUCAGAAAUUCAUACUAAGAACAACUCUUCUUUCACACACACAUACACUAUCAUAGAAGGUUGUGAACGUGUUCAGAAAUUUCUCAAACUUGUGAGAAAUACCAAAACCCUACCUGAAACGAAGUUGAUGAAGCGAGAUCUUCUUGCUCCUAAGCAAACUAGUAAUGGAUGACCCACUUCUCAAUGGACUCUUCGAUCAAGACCUUCCGACGAUAACCCACACACCACCUCUUCCUUAUAUGCCGAGAAGAAACCUUGUUUU